UACAGAGGGUGCAAGCGUUAAUCGGAAUUACUGGGCGUAAAGGGAGCGUAGGUGGACGGACAAGUCGGAUGUGAAAUCCCUGGGCUUAACCUAGGAACUGCAUUCGAAACUGUGAGUCUAGAGUAUGGUAGAGGUAAGUGGAAUUUCAGGUGUAGCGGUGAAAUGCGUAGAGAUCGGAAGGAACAUCAGUGGCGAAGGCGACUUACUGGACUGAUACUGACACUGAGGCACGAAAGCGUGGGGAGCAAACAGG
rnacentral:rRNA from 1 species